rnacentral:rRNA from 1 species
CAGCCGCCGCGGUAAUACGGAGGAUCCAAGCGUUAUCCGGAUUUAUUGGGUUUAAAGGGUGCGUAGGUGGCCUGUUAAGUCAGGGGUGAAAGACGGUAGCUCAACUAUCGCAGUGCCCUUGAUACCGAUGGGCUUGAAUGAACUAGAGGUAGGCGGAAUGUGACAAGUAGCGGUGAAAUGCAUAGAUAUGUCACAGAACACCAAUUGCGAAGGCAGCUUACUAUGGUUUUAUUGACACUGAGGCACGGAAGCGUGGGGAUCAAACAGGAUUAGAUACCCGCGUAGUCCCUGUCUCUUAUAA